UGUGCUUGCUGGCGUCCAGCUCUUCUCAGUUCAAUUGUGACCGCUAUUUCGACAAGUUGCAAGUGUGUGUAAAGUUCGCUUCCGUUUGGAAUAGUUUAUUUAUUGUGUUUGCGUUGAAACGCCAAAUUGAAAUUGCAGUAACAAAGUUCUUAAAAGUUAUAUAUAUAUAUAUCGCAAGAUAUCGAGAGAGAAAACAAAACAAAACAAAAAGUUAUAGUAGUGCGUUGGAAAGGAAUGUAAAUCGAAUUGUCACAUUUCGCAAAGUAACAAAAGGCUUAUGCUCAAACUCACUGGCAGUAAAACAAGUAUUAUGAAAAACUGA